ensembl:lncRNA
AUGCAUCGUCUUGGUACUUCUGUUUUGAUGCUUAUUAUACUACCUCUUGCAUUUUCCUGUGAAAGUGGCCACAAUAAAAAACAGAUCACCGAGGAUUACCGCAAUAUCAUUAAGAUUCAGCUGAAGCACGUUGAGGCUAUGACUGAACAACUAAAUUCAAACUGCACAAUAAGAAAUGUGAGCAUGUUGAAGGAGCCAACAAAUACACAACAGUCCACCCACAGAAAAAUCUGCAGGGUUAAUGGAAAACUGAGGAGAAUCAUGAGGGAAUCAGAGAAUGUAAAUGGACAACUAAAAGAUGGUUUAUAUAAGCUUGUGGAAGAAAUAAAUGCGUCUUUGAGAUGUUGGUGUCAUCAGAAGAGGGAGGGGACAAAAGAGCUGAAACAGCAAAGACGAAAGUGGAAGAUUUGCAGAGUGAAAGACAUUCUUGCCAACUUAGAGAUACAAUAUGAACAAUACAAUACGUAUCUGUCCCUCAGCACAGACCUUCCAGAGCGUGGGAAGACUUCAGAGCAAACCGGUAUAUAA